ACGAACGCUGGCGGCGUGCCUAAUACAUGCAAGUCGCGCGAAGUUUUUCUGGUGCUUGCACUAGAAAAACUUAGCGGCGAACGGGUGAGUAACACGUAAAGAACCUGCCUCAUAGACUGGGACAACUAUUGGAAACGAUAGCUAAUACCGGAUAACAGUAUUUCUCGCAUGAGAGAUAUUUAAAAGUUGGUUAUGCUAACACUAUGAGAUGGCUUUGCGGUGCAUUAGCUAGUUGGCGGGGUAAAGGCCCACCAAGGCGACGAUGCAUAGCCGACCUGAGAGGGUGAUCGGCCACACUGGGACUGAGACACGGCCCAGACUCCUACGGGAGGCAGCAGUAGGGAAUCUUCCGCAAUGGGCGAAAGCCUGACGGAGCAACGCCGCGUGAGUGAAGAAGGAUUUCGGUUCGUAAAGCUCUGUUGUUAGGGAAGAAUGGAUAUGUAGUAACUAUACAUGUAAGAGACGGUACCUAACCAGAAAGCCACGGCUAACUACGUG
rnacentral:rRNA from 1 species